GAAGAAAAAGUGGUCACGCCACCACACCCGCGUGUGACCAGUGUGGUGUGAUAUUAGUCCUCUCCUGUCCGUCGGCCGUAAUCGGAGCUC